rnacentral:rRNA from 1 species
UGAAGCGGGAAAAGCUCAAAUUUAAAAUCUGGCAGUCUUUGGCUGUCCGAAUUGUAUUCUAGAGAAGUGUUUUCUGUGCUGGACCGUGUACAAGUCUCUUGGAACAGAGCGUCAUAGAGGGUGAGAAUCCCGUCUUUGACACGGACUACCAGUGCUUUGUGAUGCGCUCUCAAAGAGUCGAGUUGUUUGGGAAUGCAGCUCAAAAUGGGUGGUAAAUUCCAUCUAAAGCUAAAUAUUGGCGAGAGACCGAUAGCGAACAAGUACCGUGAGGGAAAGAUGAAAAGCACUUUGGAAAGAGAGUUAAACAGUACGUGAAAUUGCUGAAAGGGAAACGCUUGAAGUCAGUCGCGUUGGUCAGAACUCAGCCUUGCUUUUGCUUGGUGUACUUUCUGGCUGACGGGCCAGCAUCAGUUUUGAUUGUGGGAAAAAGGUCAGAGAAAUGUGGCACCUUCGGGUGUGUUAUAGUCUUUGAUUGUAUACCAUGGUUGGGACUGAGGAUCUCAGCACGCGCAAGCUGUGCUAAGGAUGCUGGCGUAAUGGCUUUAAACGACCCGUCUUGAAACACGGACCAAGGAGUCUAACAUGCCUGCGAGUGUUUGGGUGGAAAACCUGAGCGCGUAAUGAAAGUGAAAGUUGGGAUCUCUGUCGUGGAGAGCACCGACGCCCGGACCAGACCUUCUGUGACGGAUCUGCGGUAGAGCAUGUAUGUUGGGACCCGAAAGAUGGUGAACUAUGCCUGAAUAGGGUGAAGCCAGAGGAAACUCUGGUGGAAGCUCGUAGCGAUUCUGACGUGCAAAUCGAUCGUCAAAUUUGGGUAUA